rnacentral:rRNA from 1 species
UGGUAAGUUAAAGGUCGUAAUCCAGGUUUUCCGUAGGGUGAACCCUGCGGUAAGGGAUUCAUUA